rnacentral:rRNA from 1 species
CAGUCGCCGCGGGAAUACGGAGGGUGCGAGCGUUAAUCGGAAUAACUGGGCGUAAAGGGCACGCAGGCGGUUAUUUAAGUGAGGUGUGAAAGCCCCGGGCUUAACCUGGGAAUUGCAUUUCAGACUGGGUAACUAGAGUACUUUAGGGAGGGGUAGAAUUCCACGUGUAGCGGUGAAAUGCGUAGAGAUGUGGAGGAAUACCGAAGGCGAAGGCAGCCCCUUGGGAAUGUACUGACGCUCAUGUGCGAAAGCGUGGGGAGCAAACAGGAUUAGAUACCCGUGUAGUCCCUGUCUCUUAUAC